GAGCCAUUAGCUCAGUUGGUAGAGCAUCUGACUUUUAAUCAGAGGGUCAGAGGUUCGAACCUCUAUGGCUCACUA
rnacentral:tRNA from 1 species